GUGGGGAAUAUUGGACAAUGGGCGCAAGCCUGAUCCAGCCAUGCCGCGUGAGUGAUGAAGGCCUUAGGGUUGUAAAGCUCUUUCAGUGGGGACGAUAAUGACGGUACCCACAGAAGAAGCCCCGGCUAACUUCGUGCCAGCAGCCGCGGUAAUACGAAGGGGGCUAGCGUUGUUCGGAUUUACUGGGCGUAAAGCGCACGUAGGCGGAUCGUUAAGUCGGGGGUGAAAUCCUGGAGCUCAACUCCAGAACUGCCUUCGAUACUGGCGAUCUUGAGUCCGGAAGAGGUGAGUGGAACUCCUAGUGUAGAGGUGGAAUUCGUAGAUAUUAGGAAGAACACCAGUGGCGAAGGCGGCUCACUGGUCCGGUACUGACGCUGAGGUGUGAAAGCGUGGGGAGCAAACAGGAUUAGAUACCCUUGUAGUCC
rnacentral:rRNA from 1 species